GACCUCAGUUCAGGUGAGAUUACCGGCUGAAUUUAAGCAUAUUACUAAGCCGAGGAAAAGAAACUAACAAGGAUUCCCCUAGUAGCAGCGAGCGAACAGGGAAGAGCCCAGCGCUGAAUCCCCCGGGCCUCGCUCGGCGGGAAAUGUAGCGUUUGGGAGGGCCCGUCAACACGGCGACUCGCUCACUGGUUCAAGUCCAACUUGAAUGGGGCCACACAGAGGGUGACAGGCCCGUAGAGCAGGAGCGGUUGUCGUGUGGGUCUCUCCUUAGAGUCGGUUUGCUUGAGAGUGCAGACUUAAGUGGGUGGUAAACUCCAUCUAAGGCUAAAUAUGACCACGAGACCGAUAGCACACAAGUACCGUGAGGGAAAGGUGAAAAGAACUUUGAAGAGAGAGUUCAAGAGUACGUGAAACUGAAGUGGUGUAAACGGACGAGUUCGAAAAGUCCGAAUGGUGAGAUUCAAGCUUACCGUGCCGGUGGCCCUCGGGUUCAGAUGGCGUCGUCAGCUCGGGCUUCGGUUCGGGUCAUACGGCGUCACUCGUCCUGGGGGUAUCUGUCUGGUGCGGUGGGCUGCACUUCUCGCCUAGUAGGACGUCGCGACCCGUUGGGAUGUUCCGUUCACUGGCCCUCGGUGGAGCCCGCGCCGGAGCGUGGCCUUGUGCCGCGUUGCUGUUUGCACGGACCCGGGGUGACCUGAUCGGCGCCCGACGGUAUCAAAGCUUGGGAAGAGGCCGCACAGAGGAUGCGUUCGAUGGCCGUUUCGGCCUACACUCGGACAGGCCUGCACCCGGUCAGCGGCGCUUCUGCUUU
rnacentral:rRNA from 1 species